rnacentral:rRNA from 1 species
CCUACGGGAGGCAGCAGUGGGGAAUAUUGCACAAUGGGGGAAACCCUGAUGCAGCGACGCCGCGUGAAGGAAGAAGUAUUUCGGUAUGUAAACUUCUAUCAGCAAGGAAGAAAAUGACGGUACCUGACUCAGAAGCCCCGGCUAACUACGUGCCAGCAUCCGCGGUACUACGUAGGGGGCCAGCGUUAUCCGGAUUUACUGGGUGUAAAGGGAGCGUAGGCGGUUUAGCAAGUCAGAAGUGAAAGCCCGGGGCGCAACUGCGGAACUGCUUUUGAAACUGUUGAACUGGAAUGCAGGAGAGGUAGGCGGAAUUCCUAGUGUAGCGGUGAAAUGCGUAGAUAUUAGGAGGAACACCAGUGGCGAAGGCGGCUUACUGGACUGUAAAUGACGUUGAGGCUCGAAAGCGUGGGGAGCAAACAGGAUUAGAUACCCUUGUAGUC